rnacentral:tRNA from 1 species
NAGAGCAUGCGCCUUCUAAGCGCACGGUCGGGAGUUCGAGUCUCUCCGAGGACGCCA